rnacentral:rRNA from 1 species
GCAUGGUGGGUAGUUUGACUGGGGCGGUCUCCUCCCAAAGAGUAACGGAGGAGCACGAAGGUUGGCUAAGUACGGUCGGACAUCGUACGGUUAGUGUAAUGGUAGAAGCCAGCUUAACUGCGAGACAGACACGUCGAGCAGGUACGAAAGUAGGUCAUAGUGAUCCGGUGGUUCUGAAUGGAAGGGCCAUCGCUCAACGGAUAAAAGUUACUCCGGUGAUAACAGGCUGAUACCGCCCAAGAGUUCAUAUCGACGUGGGAUGUUUGGCGCGUCUAUGUCGUGUCAUCACAUCAUGG